rnacentral:tRNA from 1 species
GCCCGGCUAGCUCAGUCGGUAGAGCGUUGGACUCUUAAUCCAACGGUCGAGCG